ACAACAUUUGGACCAUCGGUCUACAGAGCAAUAUCACCCGCUCGGUGGAAGAUCUUUCCUUGCGUCGU
rnacentral:pre_miRNA from 1 species